AUUCAAUCAUUAUUCUCUCAGCCAUUCACGUGUUCCUUAUCGAAUUCUCCAGAACAAACUCGUCGGUCUUUCUUCCUCUUCUCUCUUCUCUUCCUUUCUUCUGUUGUCUUCUUACCGUUUCUAAAAAGCUAGCAUCCCUUCACUCACCCAAACGAUCUUCCAAGAGAUUUCUGUGAAUCACGUUGUAUAAGCCUCUAAGAUGGAGUCUCUGAAUUUCUCCAUUAAAAUAGACACAACCUUAUUGCUGCAAGUGGCUGGAUAGCUAUGGUAGAUUGGAUGUUUGUAUUAUGAGGCUUUUGCAUAAUUCCCCUUGGAUUGCUUUGGAAUAGCGUGAUUGCUUGGAUAUAUUUGGCUGCUGAUUUCUAUGAUUUGAGGCAAGGAAAACAAACUUUUCUUUAUAGCUUUGAUUCUAGUUUGAUAUUUUUUUGGUAUGAUUGUGUUGGAAUGUUGCCUUUGCGAUUGUUCUUAAUUGCAACUUGACAAGCUUUGUUCACUUGUCACUUUGUGAGUUAUUGAGUUUCAAUGCUUCUUUGGGACCUUGAUCUCUUUUGUUGGUGAUGAUCUGCAGUUGUGGUUAUUAAUUGAUUAUGGGUAACAAAAACCCUUGUCUUGGAUGUUCUAAUUUUGACGAUCCUUUGUGUUGACGGAAUCCUUUGUAGUGUGUUCAAGUUCCAUUAUGUAAUUGAUUUAAAACAAAGUUCUCCUUCUUUCUACUGCCUACACCUUUGAACGUUAUAGUCGAAAUACUCGUUCUUUGUCGACAAGUACCAAGAUCUGUUUUGCAUCUUAAGUACAUCCAUCAUACUUAAUGAUAUCAUGUCUGUUCUGAUGUCCUUGUUCAAAAAUCAUGUAAUGAUAUUUGCCUCAUGUCCACCUAGCUAUUGAAAAUCUGAUUCUUAUCCCUGUUUGAAAGUACUUGGAAACAAGCUUCCAUUCUUUGAUUAUUACCUCAAUUCAUCUGUGAGUUUAUGAACUCAGGUUUCUCUACCUCAUUGUCAACGUUCUAAAGGUACUUGUGUCUGCCCAUUUGCUCUUUACAUAAAGAUCUGCUUUGUUCAAAUUCACUUCUAUUAAAAGAACAGAGGUUCAUGUUAUAGUAUUAUUUCUGGGUAGUAUCAUACUAUAUUCUGAAAAGGGAUUUCAAGUUUGUUUCUGAAAUCCUUGUUUGAUCAGUUGGUUUGGAAAGUGAAACUUCCUGGAAAGAAACGAUUAGAUUUCAAAUGUUCUGUUCGAUUAGGCCCGGUGAAUUGUUUGAGUAGGGAUUGUGCCUCCCUUGGGUUAUUUAACCCUAAACCUGAUCAGGGUACCGCAUGUGCGGGGUUUGCUCAGUGGUAUAGCUGGGCGGUGGGCUCUAACCAAAUCUUAAGGAUUUGUUGAAUUCGUGUGAAAGAAAGUUCUAUGAGUAUCAUGGGUAUUCCUAUUGACACUUCUGUUGGUUCAUGGUAUUCUUAUCUGUUAACUUUGUUGUCAAGUUACCCUCAUGAUCAGCCUUCUUCUACUUUGUUCAUGUAUAUUGCUGAUGCUUGUUAUACUUGGUGAAGUUUGAUAUCUGCAAUUCCAAUGUUAUCUUUGAGUCAAGUUCAUUUAUUCUACUACUGGACUUCUGAUUUUCUCUUUUGCAAAUGCAACAACGAUUAUUUGAGUUUAAUCUCACUUCUUUGGUUAUCUUAUUUAAUCUUCAAGCAUGUUCCUGCUUUUCAUGUUCCAAGUGCUUAUUGAAUUAGAGUCUUUGUUAUAAAGAUUAUUUUGUCGUACCUACUAAGCUUGUGAAGCUCAUUAAUUCCCUAUAUUCAUGUUGUGUUUUUAGGAAAGGAGUCCUUGAGUGGACAAGUUAUUGAUGUUUUGAAGCUUUCUUGAGCUAAAGUAUUGGUAUUGUUCUGUGAUGGUGUUGGUUGUGCUUCACUUAUGUCCGAGUGCUUAUGUUCUCUUGGACUGCGUUGCGUUGUUACAUUUGAAUUGAGUAUGUUAUUGAUGUUACCUUGUUCUAAAGGGUUAGAAUUUCUAUGUAGCUUUGAGGCAGCAAUUUGGAAAAGGUUUUGGUACCAAUGUGAUGGAUGGUUUUGAAAUUCAACUAUUGUAUUGAGCAAAAUGUAAAGCUUUAUCUAGCCUUUCUCUUAUCUGAUUUUUACUGUUCAUUUUGUAUAUUUGAAGGCAACAGAAAUAAGUACUAAAGUUGUUUUGAAAAGUUUCUACAUUUAUUCUUGUUAUUAAACUGUUUACAGAUUCGUGGAAAGUAAAGGUGUGUUUUAGAAUUUUGUAUAUCAUAUUUUGGAGUAUUGUUCAGUUUUACAUGUCCCUGGAAAAUGAGAAGUUUGACUCUUGAGUUUAAUCUAGCUAGUUGUUGCUAAUUAACAGGAUGAUUUUUCCAUUCAAAGUUUUAGUGACUAUCUCCCGGUUCUUUAUAAAAAUUCUUCCUUCCAAAACUAUAUUUAAAAGGGGGAAAAAAAAAAUUAUAUCCAUCAAUCCUUCUUUCAAUUUAAUCUAUCACAUCAGUCAUACCCUAAGGUCGGGGUGUGACACAACAUCACUUCUAUCCUUCUUCAACCAAUGAUCAAGCACUAAAUCAAAUCAAUCUGCACUGUCGAUAAGUUGUGGCCUGGUUAGUUAAAGUGUUAAUUAAUAACUUCAAGGUCAUAGGUUUAAAUCUUAUUGAUAUGUAGAGUAUGUAAGUUAUUUAGUAAAAAUUUUUUUUUAAAUAAAUAAAAAAUCAAACUGCAUUGCAAUAUCAAGACACAGCUAAGGCUAAUUUACCGCCGUCAGUAUCCUAGGAUAUUUUGCAGUCUUCUAUUAUCCAAUUUCUUGAUCACAAUAGUUUAAUUAGCCUCAAUAUCAUUUAUAUAUCAAAUGAAAAACAAAUAAAAGAAAUCCAACCUCAUAUCUAGCACCAACUUUUGGUGUCUUUCGUUUUGCUGCGGUUGCUCGUGAGAUUUCAAAAACCAUUCUUUGUCGUCUUCUUUAACAUUGGUCCAUACUAGAUGAAAUUAAAUUCAAAAAUUGAUGUGCUAAAGAGGCAUGUUUAACAACAACAACAAAAUUGGUCUUACUAAAAACUAUAAUGUACGGGAUAUAGGAAAAAACAACAUGUUGUAAAUCAGAAUAGCAAAGAAAGAAUGCUCUUUAUAUGCCCUCUCCUUCGAGAGGUUUCUCGGCGGUGGCCAGUUCUGAUUGGCAGUGGCUUUGUAUCUUCGAUUGAGAGAGGGACUUCUUCCUCUUUCUCUUGUCAAAUUUGUAGGGGUGCUCGUUGGUCCUCCCUCUGUUCAAGUUUCGGUGAUUUCCCUUCUCCUUCUGUUGGGAAGACGUACUGAUGGCGGCGCCGACUCUUUCUUGGUGAACUGGAUCUAGGGUUUCUUUGGAUAGGAUAGAAUGCCAAAUGUAUGUGGCAUAUGAGGGUGUUGGAGUGCUUAAUGGUGAUUGGAAGUAUGUCUUUUUGUUUGCUUUCAAGGUGAGAGUCGAUGAGAUUGAUGCAACGGUGAGCGAGUCUUGUGUGGUGGUUCAUAAUGUGAACUACUCGACGGUGUUGUGGGACGGCAACGUAGGUAUUGUUGCCGACGGUGAAUGGAAACAUGGAGAUCCCUUUCUCCUUCCUCACAUCGUCACCAUUGAUGCCAACGAGGUGCUAGGAGGGUGGCUUUACCUCCUUGGUUUGGCCGCUGAGGGUGGGUCUCACAAUGGAUUGGCAAUGGCGGCGGCUCAUGGGAGUGGUGUCGGCGGCGCUCUGCAUGAUGGCUGCUAGGGUUUCCUUCAAGGCCACAUUUGGCUGGGCUUUGUUGGGUUUGGGUAGCUAUUUUAUUUUUUAAUGUUAUUUUUUUUUUAGGUUCAUAUCUUUUUUUGCGAAAAGAUAUUGUGCCUUGAGCAAGAGAUCGCAAAGGAAAUAAAGACUUGACCAAGGAGAUAGCAAAGGAAAUAGAGACUCGGUAGUCUCUUAAUUGGGGCUUAUAUUUUAUUAGCCGGGCUCUAUAAUUUUUUUGUUUUAGACGUCAUAUAAGAAAGUGGGUGUACUAGGAGAUUACUAGUAUAAUUGUUUUUUUUUUUUUGUUGUUAGAUUUGUAGUAGUUUCUACGGAACGGUUUCAUCGGUUGACCUCAUUGAAAGGGAUCGUUUUUGUAUUGCUUGCUAAGCUAAUAAAGGAUGACCUCUUUUGAUAAAAAAAAUAAAAAUUGACCUUACUAAAAAUGUCUCAGAAGACAAUAUUAUAUAUGGAACAGCCGUGUAAGAGCUUAGGGUUUAGAAAAUUUAAUCCUCCAUAUCACGAACUAGAACUUUAGUCCUCCAUGACCCCGUGAAGCUAAUUCACAAGGUAGCCCAUAUACUUGCCAACUAUGCUUUCCACUCAAAUGAGAUUCAAACAUGGUAUGCUAAUAUUGCUCCUGAUUCUAUAAGAGAAUGUAAUUACUAAUUGUUUCAAUAAAAUCUAUUUCAAAAAAAGAAAAAAGUCGAUAAAAUAGCACAGGUUAUAGCAAACAAUUUUACCUUCAAGCUAACUUGACUAUACCCAAUUACUAUUAUUUUUUUGGUCAAUCUAUACCCAAUUUAAUUUCGAGUAAAUCACUAAGGUGGCGUUUGUUACACCGGACUAACAGGGAUUGGACUAGCUUAGGUAAGAAAAUAGUCCGAAACCCAUGUUUGGAGGAACACGGGACUGAAUUAAAUGAGUAUAGGUAGUCCCCGUGUCCCGUUUUAACCUUCUUACAUAGUCACCCGAAAACUGGGCGGACUACAUACCGCAUCGUUGUUUAACGAUUUCAACUCUCUGCGCUUCCUCCUCUUUGCUUCCUCUCUACUUCCUCACUGAUUCGACUCUCUCUGCUCUCUCUUCUACUGGACAGGUACGAUCUUCUCUCUCUCUCUCUCACACACGCAUCUUGAAACUCUCUCUGGAAAAGAUCGAUUUGGAAUGAGUAAAGAUCGAUUUCAUAGAAAAUUGGUUAUGGGUUGUAUGUAUUUGAUAGAUUGAUUAAAGAUUCGGUGUGUAAUGCGUUGAAUCGAUCAAUUUCAUGGCUGGGUGUUCUUGUUCAAUUUUUACAGAAGAUCGAUUUCAUUGGUGAUAUGUAUCUGAUAGAUGAUCAUAUUGAGUCGGUGUUUGGAUAUCUUGAUCUGUUAUAAACUGAUUAUGAAUGGCUGGGUGUUCUUCUUCUCUGCAUCGUUUUUUUUUUUUGCUGACUGUUCUUCUUCUUCAUGGUUAGGUGUUCUUCUUCUUCAAUUUUCUGGGUUAUAUGUAUUGAUAGAUUGAUUAUGAAUGGUUACAGUAUAAUAGCAUAGAUUGAUGUGUAGACUUGUUUUAUUGCUGUGUAGUUUUGUGGAUGACUUUGUAGACUUGUUUUAUUUGCUGUGUAGUUCUGUGGAUGACUUUGGGAACUUGUUUUAGUUGCUGUGUAGUUUUGUUGCUGUUGUUCACUUGUUUUAGGCUGUGCAUAUGCUUCUGCACUAUGCUUCUGCUUCUGCAUAUAUAAGGUAACUAGAGGGUGAAUAACAUGACCUAUUUGGCUUUAUAUUGUAUAUGAGUGUCCAAGUGAUUUCAAAUUUGGUUUUGGGGUUUAUGACUUGAGCUUUUAAG